UGGGGAAUCAUGGUCAAUGGGCGAAAGCCUGAACCUGCGACGCCGCGUGAGUGAUGAAGGUCGUAAGAUCGUAAAACUCUUUUCAGGGAUCUUAAAGCCUGUCUGUCAACAACAGGCAGGUCUGACUCUCCCUGGAAGAAGCCCCAGCCAACUACGUGCCAGCAGCUGCGGUAAUACGUAGGGGGCGAGCGUUAUUCGGAAUUACUGGGUGUAAAGGGUAUGUAGGCGGCCCUUCAAGUCGCGUGUCAAAGUCCAGUGCUCAACGCUGGGGGUGCGCGCGAUACUGACGGGAUUGAGGGCUGGAGAGGUGAGCUGAAUUUCCGGUGUAGUGGUAAAAUACGUAGAGAUCGGGAGGAACACCAGCGGCGCAGGCGGCUCACUAGACAGUUUCUGACGCUAAGAUACGAAAGCGUGGGGAGCAAACA
rnacentral:rRNA from 1 species